UACGGAGGGUGCAAGCGUUAUCCGGAUUCACUGGGUUUAAAGGGUGCGUAGGUGGGUCUGUAAGUCAGUGGUGAAAUCUCCAAGCUUAACUUGGAAACUGCCAUUGAUACUAUAGGUCUUGAAUAUCCUGGAGGUGAGCGGAAUAUGUCAUGUAGCGGUGAAAUGCUUAGAUAUGACAUAGAACACCAAUUGCGAAGCAGCUCACUACGGGAUUAUUGACACUGAGGCACGAAAGCGUGGGGAUCAAACAGG
rnacentral:rRNA from 1 species